CUAUAGGAUCCUAUAGGAAUUCCUAUAGGAAUUCCUAUAGGAAUUCCUAUAGGAAUUCUAUUCCUAUAGGAUCCUAUA